GCCACUCUAACUUCAAGGACCACUACUUUGCGUUUCCACAUAUGAAUCGAGAUCAAGCUUUCUGUAACCAACGGCCUAUAUUUUGGUAUGGUACACACACAAAAGGCUAAAUUAAGAAGUACUCCCUCCGUUCCUAAAUAUAAGUCUUUCGAGAGAUUCAACUAAUGGACUACAUACGGAUGUAUAUAGAUAUACUUUAGAGUAUAGAUUCAUUCAUUUGGCUCCGUAUGUAUCAGGGGCGGGUCCACCUCAAUUCAAGGGUAUUCAGCUGAAUACCCAUUAAUUCGGGUAAAAAACCAGGUACACAUAGUAUCUAUGUUGUUGUGUAUAAGGAAGGGAAAAACGAAACUCGGAACACGUCCACCACAAGUCCACCACUAGCCGGUUAGCCCUUCUGUUCUGAACUUCUGAUACUUCUGACACAGGUUUUGUUCUCGAUUCUAGCAGGUCGCGGCAUUGUUGUAGUAUAAACAGGGGCAUAGUUUGAGCUCCUAUAAGUAAGUUAGUCUGACCACUUGUCUUUGUAUUUAAUUAUGGUGAAAUUAAAGACUUGCUUGCUGUCAAUUAUGAAAUGUUUAACCCUGAUUUUUUUUACGAAUCGUUUAGACAAGAGAAUUUGCUAUUUUUCAUUUGAGUUUGUAAUGCGAGUGUUUAUAAAUUUUGAGUGAUUGCUUGGUCACAAUGAUUGAAAGGAAAUUCUUCUUGCAAGUUAAGGAUGAUGACAUCAUCACUCAUUUUCAAAGUAUCAAGGACCGUAAAACUAUCCUGUAAUUUGUAUGGUUCCUUAUCAUUUUCUAUUCUAUCCUCUAUAAAUCUUAGAUUUUGUGAUGGUAUGUUGAACAAUUUUUUUACUUCUAUAUGUUGAACAAUACCAAAUCAUGAUAAUUUUUUAUAAAUAUAAUAUAAUAUGUGAGACCAUUUCUAUAUUUUAGAACUACUAUGAUAUGCUUCUAUGAUCGGUUAUACGUUCCAAAAGGAAGACUAUAAGCUUCAACUUUUUUUCAAAAUUUGAAUACACAAUCUUCAAUUCCUGAGCCCGCCCCUGGUAUGUAUACACCUAGUGAAAUAUCUUAAAAGACUUAUAUUUAAGUACGGAGGGAGUAGUACAUAUUUAGAUUUUAGGGUGUGUCUUAUUUAGUCAAAUGAAUGAGAGAUGUGGCCAGCCAGAAUUUAGUGAAGGUUUUGUAGGUCCAUGGUUGGGUCAAUAUUUGCGGGAAAACAUAACUGGUGGGCACAAUACGGCGUGGUUAUGAUGUUCAGUGAUUCUUGUUGUUGUUGUUGUUGAGAAUUUUGUGCACAAUGACAUGGAUUUGACACCUUAACAAGGUUUUUUUUAACACAGAUGCAAGGGCUCAUAUAUACACGAAUACAUUUAUAUGUAUAAAUACAAAUACGUACA
rnacentral:lncRNA from 1 species